CUCACCUGCCGAAUGAAUUAGCCCUGAAAAUGGAUGGCGCUGAAGCGGGUAGCCGAAACCACGCCGUCUGGGCUAGUUAAGCCUUCAGAUGAGUAGGAGGAACCUGUCGGUCGUAUCGAAGCGUGUGUGCAAGCAUGCGUGGAACGGCCGAUAAUGCAGAUCUUGGUGUCAGUAGCAAAUAUUCAAAUGAGAACCUUGAAGGGCGAAGCGGGGAAGGGUUCCACGCGAACAUUGAUUGAGCGUGGGUGAGUCGUUCCUAAGCCGCGUGGCAAUAGCUAAUUAUCGGCGAAAGGGAAGCAGGUUGAUAUUCCUGCACACGGAUGUGGAUGCGGUGACGCACUUAACUGGGGCAGUGAAGCUGGCGGUAGCUCUGGACAGAGUUUUCUUUUCUGUUUAACCGUACCGCGCGCGCUGUGUGGAAUCCGCUUGUCGGGAGAAACACGCGUGAACGGGCAUAGCGCCGGGAUUUUUCCGGCGUCCAGAUCGCUACCGACGGACCUUGAAAAACUGCUUGCUGGCGUAGUAUACAUGAAUUUUAUUUGUGUGUAUUGCGUAAAAGAAAUCCACGCCGUGACGUACCCAUAACCGCAUCAGGUCCCCAAGGUGAACAGCCUCUGCUCGAUAUGGAAAAUGCAGGUAAGGGAAGUCGGCAAAUUGGACCCGUAACUUUGGGAAAAGGGUUGGCUCUAGUGCUGCGUGGGAGUGGUUGUCUUGUGGUGGGGGUGAACUUGCUGGCUUUGCUGCGGCGGACUCUUGUGCGUUUUUGAGAGGAGAGGGAGGGGAGUAGGGGAGGCGGAGUCAAUUUUUUUGGCGCCAAAUUUCUUGCUUCCUUUUUUUUCAUUUUCUUGGCGUGCUGUUCGUUGUGGUGGGGCUGUGUGGGGGCACUUCUGCUCUUGAUGACGCCCACAGCAUGCGGCAAACUAGAACUGAAACGGUC
rnacentral:rRNA from 1 species